rnacentral:rRNA from 1 species
UACGGGGGGGGCAAGCGUUGUUCGGAAUUACUGGGCGUAAAGGGCUCGUAGGCGGCCAACUAAGUCAGACGUGAAAUCCCUCGGCUUAACCGGGGAACUGCGUCUGAUACUGGAUGGCUUGAGUUCGGGAGAGGGAUGCGGAAUUCCAGGUGUAGCGGUGAAAUGCGUAGAUAUCGAGAGGAACACCGGUGGCGAAGGCGGCGAUCUGGACGAUGACUGACGCUGAGACGCGAAAGCGUGGGGAGCAAACAGG